UACGUAGGGUGCGAGCGUUGUCCGGAAUUACUGGGCGUAAAGAGCUCGUAGGUGGUUUGUCGCGUUGUUCGUGAAAUCUCACGGCUUAACUGUGAGCGUGCGGGCGAUACGGGCAGACUUGAGUACUGCAGGGGAGACUGGAAUUCCUGGUGUAGCGGUGGAAUGCGCAGAUAUCAGGAGGAACACCGGUGGCGAAGGCGGGUCUCUGGACCGAUACUGACACUGAGAGACGAAAGCUAGGGGAGCGAAUGGG
rnacentral:rRNA from 1 species